UAGUUUGAUCCUGGCUCAGGAUCAACGCUGGCGGUGUGCCUAACGCAUGUAAGUCGAACGCAGCCCUUUCGAGGGCUGAGUGGCGAACGGCUGAGGAACACGUACGAACCUGCCCUCACGUGGGGAAUAACGCCGCGAAAGCGGUGCUAAUACCGCGUACGCUGGGAUUUCGGUCUCAGGAAAGCCACAAGGCGCGGGAGGAGGGGCGUGCGGCCCAUCAGGUCGUUGGUGGGGUAAUGGCCUACCAAGCCUUUGACGGGUAGCUGGUCUGUGAGGACGAUCAGCCAGACUGGGACUGCGAAACGGCCCAGACACCUACGGGUGGCAGCAGCGAGGAAUCUUCCACAAUGGGCACAAGCCCGAUGGAGCAACGCCGCGUGGAGGACGACGGCCUUCGGGUUGUAAACUCCUUUCGGGGGGGAGGAUACGGACAGUACCCCCAGAAGCAGCCCCGGCUAACUCUGUGCCAGCAGCCGCGGUAAUACAGAGGGGGCAAGCGUUGUCCGGAAUUACUGGGCGUAAAGCGCGCGCAGGCGGUGGCUGAUGUGCCGUGUGACAGGCGGGGGCUCAACCCCCGGUUCGCAGGGUAGACAGGGUCACUGGAGGCAGGGAGAGGGAUGUGGAAUGCCCGGUGGAGCGGUGAAAUGCGUAGAGAUCGGGCGGAACACCAGCGGCGAAAGCGGCAUCCUGGCCC
rnacentral:rRNA from 1 species